UUUGACUAGUCUGUGUCAUCAAAGAUCAUGUAAGGGCUUAAAUUACUUCAAAGAUAAGGUGUUAGGUACUCUUUGAGGUCCACAAUUGUGGGUCUCAGUUGAACUUUAGACUAUGUGGAUGAUAAGUUAAGCUAGGUGAUCAAACAAAUAUAGGAAAAUUUAGAAGUCGAAGGGUCUUAUUAAAACAUGUGAAGAUUGGUACAAAUCUUGAUGACUACAAGGGUACAACUUCAUUGGCCUAAGUUAAAUGAUUAAAUGUAAAUAAUAAGUGCAUAAAGAGGGGGAGG
rnacentral:lncRNA from 1 species